rnacentral:rRNA from 1 species
UACAGAGGGGGCAAGCGUUGUUCGGAAUUACUGGGCGUAAAGCGCGCGUAGGCGGCCUUCUAAGUCGAACGUGAAAUCCCCGGGCUCAACCCGGGAACUGCGUCCGAUACUGGAAGGCUUGAAUCCGGGAGAGGGAUGCGGAAUUCCAGGUGUAGCGGUGAAAUGCGUAGAUAUCUGGAGGAACACCGGUGGCGAAGGCGGCAUCCUGGACCGGUAUUGACGCUGAGGCGCGAAAGCCAGGGGAGCAAACGGG